rnacentral:rRNA from 1 species
GAUGAACGCUGGCGGCGUGCCUAAUACAUGCAAGUCGAGCGAACAGACGAGGAGCUUGCUCCUCUGACGUUAGCGGCGGACGGGUGAGUAACACGUGGAUAACCUACCUAUAAGACUGGGAUAACUUCGGGAAACCGGAGCUAAUACCGGAUAAUAUAUUGAACCGCAUGGUUCAAUAGUGAAAGACGGUUUUGCUGUCACUUAUAGAUGGAACCGCGCCGCAUUAGCUAGUUGGUAAGGUAACGGCUUACCAAGGCGACGAUGCGUAGCCGACCUGAGAGGGUGAUCGGCCACACUGGAACUGAGACACGGUCCAGACUCCUACGGGAGGCAGCAGUAGGGAAUCUUCCGCAAAGGGCGAAAGCUUGACGGAGCAACGCCGCGUGAGUGAUGAAGGUCUUCGGAUCGUAAAACUCUGUUAUUAGGGAAGAACAAAUGUGUAAGUAACUAUGCACGUCUUGACGGUACCUAAUCAGAAAGCCACGGCUAACUACGUG